UACGGAGGAUGCAAGCGUUAUCCGGAUUUAUUGGGUUUAAAGGGUGCGCAGGUUGUUUGAUAAGUCAGUGGUGAAAGUCUGUCGCUUAACGGUAGGAUUGCCAUUGACACUGUUAGACUUGAAUAUGGAUGAGGUAGGCGGAAUGUGUAGUGUAGCGGUGAAAUGCAUAGAUAUUACACAGAACACCGAUUGCGAAGGCAGCUUACUAAGCCAUAACUGACGCUCAGGCACGAAGGCGUGGGGAUCAAACAGGA
rnacentral:rRNA from 1 species